rnacentral:lncRNA from 1 species
GAGGAAGGGGUGAGAGGGAGAAACCUGCCGCGGCUCUCCGCCUCUUUGUCUGCUCUGGGACUUGGAACAAAAGGGGGAACUCUGAUGAACUCCUUCUCCCGCUCCCUGGACGCCCGGGUAUCUCUUUCUCGCAACUUUGUCAAGGCGACUUUCUCCGCUGUCAGGCUGCGCAAAAGUGUCCCAGCGCUUCGCAGGCUGCAACAAUGGAAACAAUGUUCCUUCAAAGUGGGACGAAGUAGAGGGAGAAGGUGUCGUUGCCAGCAGCUCCAAGUGUCAUAUCAGGCACUUAGCAGAAGUACUUCCUACUGAAAUGCCUUGGGAUUACUCUUAUUGGAAAUAUACCUACCAGCCAGUAGCAUGGAGAUGCCAGGACCCCAGCAAGUUAGCACUGGAUGAAAUACCAUCAACUUCUUCAUUUAGAGUUUCUUCAGAUAAAGUGUUGCGGGUUCUGACAAGGCUCUCAUUAUGUGGAUUAUUGGAGUGUGAUGCCCAGGAAUUCUCUACUUAUAGAAGUAUUCCCACGUGCCUGCAGAAGCCUUCACACCCAGCACGUUCAGAUAUGAAUGAAUGA